ACACACAGUUAAACAAGAUGGACUGUAGGACAGUGCUGCUGCUUUUGACUGUCUGCUGUGCAGGUGUUGAUGGUCAGACUCUGACUCAGUCUGAACCUGUGGUUAAAAGGCCCGGAGAAUCCCACAGACUGACCUGUACAGGCUCUGGAUUCACAUUCAGCAGCCACUGGAUGCAUUGGAUCAGACAGGCUCCUGGAAAAGGACUGGAGUGGAUUGCUUUCAUUUAUACUGAUAGUAGUGGCAUGUUCUACUCUGAUUCAGUCAGAGGCCGGUUUACCAUCUCCAGAGACAACAGCAGACAGCAGCUGUAUCUGCAGAUGAACAGUCUGAAGACUGAAGAUUCUGCUGUUUAUUAUUGUGCUCGAGACUCACAGUGA